UCCGGAUAGAGCAGCACCGCGUACCCGCGCGUUUUUCAUCGGCUCUCCUCUCCUUUGACGUGGAUCAUCAGUCCAUGAUCCAUCUUUCCUCGUCCCAAUUUUACUAUUGACCUCUACUAUUUCUCUCUGGUUUUAUUUUCUUCGUCUUCCCUCGCUCCUCGAUUUCGAGUUCAUCGAAACGGACCAUCUCUGCAAACCACGGAAGAGGGAGGUCUUUGUCGGACUGAAAAUCGAACGAGGUGCACGUGAAUACGCCGAGGAGUUACGUUCGGAGCAACAGAGCGAAAGAACCCUAAGGCGAACCAUCAGGCGAAGAAAACACUACGAGAUCGAUAGUGUUGUGGCAACCACGUUAAAGACCACUACCCUGCCAAGUGGUACUCUAUCGAGAACUACGGUGGAAACGGUUAACAUAGAGAGAUCGUUUUUUUUCUCGCGUGUAGUAGAAUUAACGCGAGAAGUAACGUUGAGAGUCCGAUAGCUCGUAUAUGCCGACAAUUUAUCUAAACAAGAGGCUAAUCGAAAGUACCUAUCAUCAUCUGACAUCGUCCGACAUUGCGAUUUUCGGGGUGUCUUCGAGAAGCGCGUGCAACGUGUGUAUUCAGUGUUUUUUAAAGGGGUGUAAGGAAGAGAGGAUACUGUCGCUGUCUACGGGCGAGAAAGUCACCAAUUCCUUAGCGGAAAUCCAGCUUAUCAAAAACACGAGUUGAAUCGAAAACAGUCGUCGAAAAUAUGACGAGGUGGACCGAAAUCGUUUUACAACGGCAAAGAACCAACAUCUACCUGAUAGCGUUCCUCGUUUUGUACGCGAAUACAGAAGCAGCACCGACUGAUCUCGUCGUUAGCGAUACCACUGCCGCGAAUUACCUAGCGCAAUACGGAUAUUUGCCGCCGAUAAAUCCGGAAAAAGGUGCUUUUUUAAGCGGGGAUAAGCUGACGGCUGCGAUAGAAGAAUUCCAAGCAUUUGCUGGUCUUAAUAUAACAGGUGAAUUAAAUGAAGAAACUGCUGAACUUAUGGCUACACCAAGAUGCGGUGUUAAAGAUAAAGUUGGACCAGCUGCCGAUGGAAGAUCGAAGAGAUACGCUCUUCAAGGGUCCAGAUGGCGUACGAAGAACCUAACGUACAAAAUUAGCAAGUACCCAACUGGUCUCAACAAACAGGAAGUGGAAAAGGAAAUAGCGAACGCGUUCUCUGUUUGGACGGGUGAAACUGAUCUGACAUUUACCCGCAAGACAGGACACGAAAAUGUUCACAUCGACAUUCGAUUCGAAGUAGGUGAACACGGCGACGGUGAUCCUUUCGAUGGACCUGGCGGCACCUUGGCACACGCAUACUUUCCGGUAUACGGUGGUGAUGCUCACUUCGACGAUUCUGAACGAUGGACCAUCAGAAGCUACCGCGGUACCAAUCUCUUUCAAGUCGCGGCUCAUGAAUUCGGACACUCGCUCGGUUUAAGUCACAGUGAUGUCAAAAGUGCCCUGAUGGCACCUUUUUACCGCGGCUACGAUCCACAUUUUACUCUAGAUCAAGAUGAUGUUAGCGCGAUUCAGGCUCUGUAUGGCACGAAAACUAAAUCGAGUGUGCCACGAGGAUCGCGACCUCCGCCGCCUGCCGAACAAGAUCCUGAAUUGUGUAAAGAUCCGAAGAUCGAUGCAAUGUUCAAUACGAAAGACGGCGAGAUAAUUGCGUUCAAGGGAAAACAUUAUUGGAAAUUAACAGACGAUGGUGUGGCUAGCGGUUAUCCUAGACGUAUUAGUAGCACGUGGAAGGAACUUCCGUCAAAUAUAGAUGCUGCAUUUACAUACAGGAAUGGCAAAACUUACUUCUUCAAGGGCACGCAAUACUGGAGGUACAUUAAUACGACCAUGGACGGUGACUACCCGAAGGAAAUUAGCGAUGGUUUUACUGGCAUUCCUGAUAACAUCGAUGCGGCUACCGUAUGGACUGGAAAUGGCAAGAUUUAUUUCUACAAGGGUACGAAAUUCUGGCGCUUCGAUCCAGCGUCGAAGCCACCAGUGAGAAAUAGCUAUCCUAAACUCAUCCAAAAUUGGGAAGGCAUACCGAAUCACAUCAACGCGGCAGUACCAUAUAAGGGCUAUACAUAUUUCUUCCAAGAUAAUGCCUACUAUCGAUUCAACGACCGAUUGUUCAAGGUUGACGAUGCUAAUCCUGCCUUCCCGAGAUCAACAGCGUACUGGUGGUUUGGGUGCAAGUCUGCUAACAAAGGGACAAUAGGUAAUGAUCGCUGGCCAUUCGCAUUUGCCAGUAAUCUGGACGUGGCUGAUACAUACGACGAUUACGGUAAUCUUGACAGCGUUGGUGACAUCAUUCUAGACGCAGCCAGGCGAUGGAUGAGAACAAAGUAUUUGAUUUCUGAGAACUUCAACAUCGAAAAGUAAAUGGUGAUAGAUAGCGCGAAAGGUCGCCGUAUAUCAUCGUCGCCGCAUCCAGUUUGACAAGACAAAAACGACAACAAUGUACAUCCCGAAUUCGGGAAAAAGUGAGCGGUCAAAGCGGCGCGACCCACGACCGGUACACGUGCCAAAUAUCCCGAUUAUUUACACGCGGAAAAACCAAAUAAAGUUCCAAACAACAACAGUCAACCGGCAACGGCGGCAAGAGAGCGAGACCGAGAAUUAACGGCCGACAUCUUCGUGCCUGUUUGAUUGACCUGUACUGUUUCGCGCUCUCGAAUGUGCGCAUGCGUCGUUCUGCAUGGCGUGUCAUUCGAGAUUACCCGCCACUACGAUUCAAAUUUGAAUUCGACAGGAGGCACCGACGAGCUCGUCACAUCAUCGAAUCACCAUCAUGAAAACUCUGGGGCGUCCGUGAAUUCGCUGCAUUCAUUGGAA